rnacentral:rRNA from 1 species
UACGUAGGGUGCGAGCGUUAAUCGGAAUUACUGGGCGUAAAGCGUGCGCAGGCGGUUCGUUGUGUCGGCGGGGAAAGCCCCGGGCUUAACCUGGGAACGGCCGUUGAAACUGGCGAACUGGAGUGUGGCAGAGGGGGGUGGAAUUCCGCGUGUAGCAGUGAAAUGCGUUGAGAUGCGGAGGAACACCGAUGGCGAAGGCAGCCCCCUGGGCUAACACUGACGCUCAGGCACGAAAGCGUGGGGAGCAAACAGG